ACCUCGUCGUGAACAGACAGGCAGCUUGCCCAAGGGCACACAGUUUGUACCGGGUAAAGCCUAACCUGCAGACUGCGAUCCUUCUUGCUGUACCUCCACUGUGCUUGGUAUUUCAAAAAUCUACGCCCACCGACCUCUGCUACUAAAUACCUGGACAAAGAGCCGUGAAUCACAUGCUAAGAAGCCAUUAGGGUGGGGGCAGCUGGAUACAGAGCCCGGAGGUUUGAGCCAGUGCCGGCUUGUCACCCUCGUUCUCUGUUUACCCUGCUGCGGCGGCAGCCAAAGUGCAGCCUGGUGCUGAAGUCACCAGCCAGGGAGGGCCUCUCGUGCCCCGUCUCACUUCACCAUGUGCUCUGGGUACCUCUGCUUUAGAGCACUGGCCUGUGCUUGGAGGCAAGAAGAAAAAUUAGCUUAACCUAAGAUGGCUUGACACUUGAACACGGGGCAGAUUGCAUAAGUGCCCCAGGUCUGCAUCCCUGUCUGCGUCGCUACCCUCUGCCACGGGACUUCGCAGUUCUUUCUACCAAGAGAUGAUCCACUGAUUCGACUGGGGCAUCUGCUCUGGGUGUUGGUAGAUGGGAUACCAGCAGAGGCUUGGAAGCAUGCUUGCAUCACUGGACUUCUUCUCUUGCCCCUUUACUGUUUCCAUGAGAAGAGCACGCCUGGGCUGGCCCAGGGCCCUAGGAUGGGAGUAAGAGAUACGUGAGGCAGAGCUGCCCCCAGGAAGCUGCCCAGCCCAGCCCAGCUGACAACAGAACCAUCCAACUGACCCAGAGAUGCAUGAACAAACCCAGCCACGAUCGAUCGGCAGGUCUGCUUAGCCAACCUUCACCUGAACUGCAGGUGCAGGAGCUGGAGUAGGAAGUGAUUGGUGUGUUAAGCCUCUGAAUUUUGAGGUGGUUUGCUCCCCAGCAAUUGCAUUGAGAUCAUCGCCUCUGAGACAAAUAUGAUCAUGAUAUGAGCAACGAGAAACAAAAGCACUUUGCAAAUGUCAAAUUGUGAGGAGAGGGAAUAGACUGUUGAACACAUUCUGGACCUGGAACCUGAAGACCUGAGUUCAAAGCCACUCAUGCCCCCAAUUACUCUACACACUUGGGCAGAUAAUUUAAAAUUUCUGGGUCUUACCAUAAACUUACAGAGCUGGCUUGCAAACUCAAAGCCAUGAGAGCUUCGAGAGUAUGUCAGAAAAUUAAUAUGGUCCUAGAACUUCAUUGGUAGAGUUAAGAAAAAGACAGGGAAGGUGGGAGAGAGGUCAGAGAAUAAUUUAUUUGGGUAUAAAUGAAAUGUGAUAUCCCCCAAAAGGACGGACACAUGGAGUGGGGAAUUGGAUGAUUUUGAAGAAUAUGUUUGAUCAAAGGCUGAGAGGUAGACUUGGAGGCCAGAUAAAAGUCCCAUUUCUUCAGAGACCUGAAAGUGUGGGAUUCAUGAAUGAAUAGGUAGGAGAAAACCUUGAAUAUGGCUUACAGAAGGCACCUUCCCGACAUCUCUUCACUUGGAGUACAACAAAGCUGGAGACAAUUAUGAAGUCUUUGGUCAGGUGGAGAGAUAAUAGUCCAGACUGGCAGUUCAAUACACCUGUCUGGCUCUCUCUGAGCUACCUUUGACUUUUCCUGGUUGUGUAUUACCUGGCUUCGACAAGUCGCCUAUCCUGUGGACAAGUGGAUGAAACACGGUUCAUCUCUUCAUUAUGUAUCGGUUACAUGCCACAUUCCAGGAACUAGCUGGACCCUGGGGAUGAAACAGUCUUCAGACCUGGUUCCCGAGUUGGCCACCAACUGAGGAUGAAAUAGCAUGCAACUAUGAUGAAGAAAGGAAAACAGGAAGAGAAGAAGAAGAAGAGGAGGAGGAAGAGGCUCCUCAUGCAUUCACAUGGAGCAUUUCCAGGGUGUCCUGUUCAUGAAGAUGGUAGGAUGAUGCCCAGGGGAGAAAGGGAGUCUCUGGGAUUCCAGAAGGAGGGCACUGUGACUUACUGGAUCAGAGGCAGUAAGUUCUGCUUCCUCUGUGCCAACACUUACUGACUAUGUAUUAUAUGGAAAGUGCUUGGGUAUGUUUUAUAGAAUGUCUAAAAUGAUACGAGAGAAGUCCCUCUACCUACUACAGUCUAGUUGGGGUUGUACAUAGUCUUUAUAUAUAAAGAUUAAAACCAUCACAUGAUCAGUGAAUGAAUGUGGAAUCAGCUUGAGGUUGGGAUGAGGACAAAGUUUGAGCUUCAGGGAAUCAGGAGCCUUCAGAAGAAUUUCACUUGAGUUAGAGAAGGGUUUAAACAGAAGGAUUGUGGGAGCCAGGCAGGGCCUGCCAGGCGGGCCUCUCUUCGCAGAAACUGAAUUUAGAACGAGCAAGGUGAAGUUGGGGGCAAAUAGGACCACUUUGGCUGGAGACGGGGAGACGAGCUCAUAGAGCAACUCAGUGAUAAGAGCAGAAUGGUAGGUUGGAGCAAUACUGAAGAGGACCUGGGACGCCAAGAUAAAGAUCUGGAAUUUUGUUCAGGCAUGUGAACCAGGGGCAACAUGCACAAAGCAAUGAUUUGGAAGUGUAAUCUGGCCACCCUGUGCCAAGUGGUUAGCAGCGGAGGAGGUCUGAGGUUAGGAGACGCCUGAACACCUCAACAGAAGUCCGGGGACGAGGUGCAGAGGCCCAAGCUAGGUCGGUGGCUGGGAAAGUAGAAAAAAGAGAGAGAGACACUAAGGCUUUAUUUCUCAGCCUACCCUGCCUGGACAUGACUGUGCAUUCUCCGGACAAGUCAUAAUUAUCUUGGGUUUUAUUAUCUUGGGUUUUACAGGUGUAUGACAUUGCUGUUGUGCAAGUACAUGGGGGCCAAAGAACCUCAUCCAGUUGUGUCUCUGGCUGUUUGUCUGCAGAUGGUUCCAGACUGAAAACUGGUGUGAAAUAUGCUUCCCACACAUUCAGAGCUGCACCCAGCCUGCUUCUGUGCCCACAGAGAAAUCACAAAUGGAAGUCCCCUUCCUGAAAGCAAAUGCUAACGGGUACAGGUGGUUCUUAAAAGUAAUUUUUCUAGUAUCGAUCAGAACUUCCGUUGAUGUUUUCAUUUUAAAAAGGGGGUUGCUAAAAUAAUAACAGGGUGGCUAUUUUCAGGUCUUUAAAGGUAUUAAAUAGAUUGUGGGUGCUAUCAUGUGACGAGGUCUAUGCUCUAUUGCUAAGUGGUAAGAGCAAGUCUCCUGGCAGUAGCAUUACUGCUUCUGCUGGAAGCAUCGCAUAUAGGUUAGACAUGGAGUCGGGGAGGCCACCCUCCAGCUGGGGUACAGGACACGUGGGAAGGAGGGUGCAGAAUGGGCACGUCACUUUUUGCUUUUGAAUUGUUGUGGUAUUUGACGAGCAGGUUAAUGCCUAUAAAGAAGAAAUUCUUAAGGCAUUUAGUGUAUUCCAGAAAAGAACAGCCCCACAGUGCCUUCCUCAGGCUCAAGCCCAUGAUAAGAAAAUAAGACGAAAAUGCUAGUUAGGGAAGCAGAGGCAGGGAGGCGAUAGUGAACGUCUUCCGUGAGUCCAUAAACUGCUUCUCCGGGCUUACUCCCCAGCAGAACCUCGUCUGGUGAAGAGCUUGGACUUGUCUCCUUGGGCAAGUUUCUUAUGUCUCGGCCUCAGUUUCCUCAGCUGUAACAUGGGGCAGCUGUGGUAAAAUGAACUCAGGGAUAGAAAGCACCGCUUUGCAGAUGGCGGCCACCACCUCGGAGGCCUUCCGUAAUUACUGGCUAUGACUGCCAUCGUCUACCUGACAUUUCCAAACACUUAGCAUUGCCCUUGUACCUUUCCUUGACCCUUUAAUUAUUUAUUGGCUUGACCCCCUACUAGAAUGUGCACCUUAGAAGCAGGUUUGUAAGUUCUUUUAAUUGUUUUUCUUCUUUGCUGACAAAAAUAAUACAUUCUUUUUAAAAUAUAUAUAUAUUUUUUAUUGAUUUUUUUACAGAGAGGAAGGGAGAGGGAUAGAGAGCUGGAAAC